GGCAAUAAGAGCAAGUCGCACCUCAGGUGUCUGGGGCUAACCUGAGGGUGUGGGUCCUUGCGGUGGAAGCUGAACCGCCCUGGAGUGUGGGGACACAAAAGAAUCUAGGUCCAAGUCGCCUCUUUCCCGCUUUGGAGCUUGGUGUCUGUCUUGCCUGUCUGGUCUUCAUGGAUGUGGCCAACCUCCCAUCAGGUGUUGGAAGGAGUCAGAUUCUGAGGACCUGUGUCUUGAGGUCUGCUGUAGCUUCUACUCCAGAUUCAAAGGCAGCAGUCCUCAGGAGUUCCUGACAGUUCACGUCCCUGUGAGAUAUGAUGCCUGGCUCAAGUGAGUGGCUCUGUGAGAUAAAUAUCAACCUGCCCAUUUGAGAGAUGACCCACUACACGGAUAGAUAUAUCUACAUAGGGGCAUUGUUUUCAUUUUCUGCAUGUUAUUUUUUCCCAUGAAAAGACAGAAUUUUAAGAUACACAAAAACUUUUCUUCAAGGCAGAUUAUGAAACAGUAACUUUAGUGUGAUCCUAAAUCUCUUUGAAAUUUCAUAUGUGUAUAAAUGAAUGACAGCACAUAUUACAUAGUUUUACUUCCUAUUUAUACCUACAUGUAUAUCACAUGUUUAUUAAAUGUGAAU